rnacentral:rRNA from 2 species
UUAAGUUAUUAAGGGCGCACGGUGGAUGCCUUGGCACUAGAAGCCGAUGAAGGACGUUACUAACGACGAUAUGCUUUGGGGAGCUGUAAGUAAGCUUUGAUCCAGAGAUUUCCGAAUGGGGAAACCCAGCAUGAGUUAUGUCAUGUUAUCGAUAUGUGAAUACAUAGCAUAUCAGAAGGCACACCCGGAGAACUGAAACAUCUUAGUACCCGGAGGAAGAGAAAGAAAAUUCGAUUCCCUUAGUAGCGGCGAGCGAAACGGGAAGAGCCCAAACCAACAAGCUUGCUUGUUGGGGUUGUAGGACACUCUGUACGGAGUUACAAAGGACGACAUUAGACGAAUCAUCUGGAAAGAUGAAUCAAAGAAGGUAAUAAUCCUGUAGUCGAAAAUGUUGUCUCUCUUGAGUGGAUCCUGAGUACGACGGAGCACGUGAAAUUCCGUCGGAAUCUGGGAGGACCAUCUCCUAAGGCUAAAUACUCUCUAGUGACCGAUAGUGAACCAGUACCGUGAGGGAAAGGUGAAAAGCACCCCGGAAGGGGAGUGAAAUAGAACCUGAAACCGUGUGCUUACAAGUAGUCAGAGCCCGUUAAUGGGUGAUGGCGUGCCUUUUGUAGAAUGAACCGGCGAGUUACGAUUUGAUGCAAGGUUAAGCAGUAAAUGUGGAGCCGUAGCGAAAGCGAGUCUGAAUAGGGCGUUUAGUAUUUGGUCGUAGACCCGAAACCAGGUGAUCUACCCUUGGUCAGGUUGAAGUUCAGGUAACACUGAAUGGAGGACCGAACCGACUUACGUUGAAAAGUGAGCGGAUGAACUGAGGGUAGCGGAGAAAUUCCAAUCGAACCUGGAGAUAGCUGGUUCUCUCCGAAAUAGCUUUAGGGCUAGCCUCAAGUGAUGAUUAUUGGAGGUAGAGCACUGUUUGGACGAGGGGCCCCUCUCGGGUUACCGAAUUCAGACAAACUCCGAAUGCCAAUUAAUUUAACUUGGGAGUCAGAACAUGGGUGAUAAGGUCCGUGUUCGAAAGGGAAACAGCCCAGACCACCAGCUAAGGUCCCAAAAUAUAUGUUAAGUGGAAAAGGAUGUGGCGUUGCCCAGACAACUAGGAUGUUGGCUUAGAAGCAGCCAUCAUUUAAAGAGUGCGUAAUAGCUCACUAGUCGAGUGACACUGCGCCGAAAAUGUACCGGGGCUAAACAUAUUACCGAAGCUGUGGAUUGUCCUUUGGACAAUGGUAGGAGAGCGUUCUAAGGGCGUUGAAGCAUGAUCGUAAGGACAUGUGGAGCGCUUAGAAGUGAGAAUGCCGGUGUGAGUAGCGAAAGACGGGUGAGAAUCCCGUCCACCGAUUGACUAAGGUUUCCAGAGGAAGGCUCGUCCGCUCUGGGUUAGUCGGGUCCUAAGCUGAGGCCGACAGGCGUAGGCGAUGGAUAACAGGUUGAUAUUCCUGUACCACCUAUAAUCGUUUUAAUCGAUGGGGGGACGCAGUAGGAUAGGCGAAGCGUGCGAUUGGAUUGCACGUCUAAGCAGUAAGGCUGAGUAUUAGGCAAAUCCGGUACUCGUUAAGGCUGAGCUGUGAUGGGGAGAAGACAUUGUGUCUUCGAGUCGUUGAUUUCACACUGCCGAGAAAAGCCUCUAGAUAGAAAAUAGGUGCCCGUACCGCAAACCGACACAGGUAGUCAAGAUGAGAAUUCUAAAGUGAGCGAGCGAACUCUCGUUAAGGAACUCGGCAAAAUGACCCCGUAACUUCGGGAGAAGGGGUGCUCUUUAGGGUUAACGCCCAGAAGAGCCGCAGUGAAUAGGCCCAAGCGACUGUUUAUCAAAAACACAGGUCUCUGCUAAACCGUAAGGUGAUGUAUAGGGGCUGACGCCUGCCCGGUGCUGGAAGGUUAAGAGGAGUGGUUAGCUUCUGCGAAGCUACGAAUCGAAGCCCCAGUAAACGGCGGCCGUAACUAUAACGGUCCUAAGGUAGCGAAAUUCCUUGUCGGGUAAGUUCCGACCCGCACGAAAGGCGUAACGAUUUGGGCACUGUCUCAACGAGAGACUCGGUGAAAUCAUAGUACCUGUGAAGAUGCAGGUUACCCGCGACAGGACGGAAAGACCCCGUGGAGCUUUACUGUAGCCUGAUAUUGAAAUUCGGCACAGCUUGUACAGGAUAGGUAGGAGCCUUUGAAACGUGAGCGCUAGCUUACGUGGAGGCGCUGGUGGGAUACUACCCUAGCUGUGUUGGCUUUCUAACCCGCACCACUUAUCGUGGUGGGAGACAGUGUCAGGCGGGCAGUUUGACUGGGGCGGUCGCCUCCUAAAAGGUAACGGAGGCGCUCAAAGGUUCCCUCAGAAUGGUUGGAAAUCAUUCAUAGAGUGUAAAGGCAUAAGGGAGCUUGACUGCGAGACCUACAAGUCGAGCAGGGUCGAAAGACGGACUUAGUGAUCCGGUGGUUCCGCAUGGAAGGGCCAUCGCUCAACGGAUAAAAGCUACCCCGGGGAUAACAGGCUUAUCUCCCCCAAGAGUUCACAUCGACGGGGAGGUUUGGCACCUCGAUGUCGGCUCGUCGCAUCCUGGGGCUGUAGUCGGUCCCAAGGGUUGGGCUGUUCGCCCAUUAAAGCGGUACGCGAGCUGGGUUCAGAACGUCGUGAGACAGUUCGGUCCCUAUCCGUCGUGGGCGUAGGAAAUUUGAGAGGAGCUGUCCUUAGUACGAGAGGACCGGGAUGGACAUACCUCUGGUGUACCAGUUGUCGUGCCAACGGCAUAGCUGGGUAGCUAUGUGUGGACGGGAUAAGUGCUGAAAGCAUCUAAGCAUGAAGCCCCCCUCAAGAUGAGAUUUCCCAACUUCGGUUAUAAGAUCCCUCAAAGAUGAUGAGGUUAAUAGGUUCGAGGUGGAAGCAUGGUGACAUGUGGAGCUGACGAAUACUAAUCGAUCGAAGACUUAAUCAA